rnacentral:rRNA from 1 species
CAGCCGCCGCGGGAAUACAGAGGGUGCGAGCGUUAAUCGGAAUUGCUGGGCGUAAAGCGCGCGUAGGUGGUUCGCCAAGUUGGAUGUGAAAUCCCCGGGCUCAACCUGGGAACUGCAUCCAAAACUGGCGAGCUAGAGUAUGGUAGAGGGUGGUGGAAUUUCCUGUGUAGCGGUGAAAUGCGUAGAUAUAGGAAGGAACAUCAGUGGCGAAGGCGACCACCUGGACUGAUACUGACACUGAGGUGCGAAAGCGUGGGGAGCAAACAGGAUUAGAUACCCGUGUAGUCCCUGUCUCUUAUAC